rnacentral:lncRNA from 1 species
AUCACAAUUUAUUUUUUUCAUUUUUCGCAUAUUAUUUAUUGAUUACAAAUUAAUCAAUUUAAUGAUUACAAUCAACCAAAUAAUUUGUGAUCAUCACUAACACUUGCGACCACCAACGUCGCUAGUAGCUACCAUCGCCACCAACAAGUUUCAAGAUCGUAGGCACAACAUUCGAUACCCAACACACCAACAAAAUCACCACCACAACCACCAACAAACCACCACCACUAUUGCCACCAACAAGAUCCAAGAAAAUCGCCGCACAAAAAACCAACAAAUUAGAUUCGAAAUAGAAACAAGAUCCAAGAAAGUUGCCUCCUAAAAAACCAACAAAUCAGAUCUAAAAAUAGAUACAACAGAGAAGAGAUGAGAGGAAGGAAAGCGACGUCGUUGGAUUAGAGAGGGGGUGACGGGAUCGCGACAGCGACAUCCCUUAACUUCGACCGCUUCGAGUGGUUUCACUCCGAAACUCUCAGAUCAGUUGGCAGUGGAGAGAGAGGGUGAGAGAAUUGGAUUUCCAACAAUUGACAGAUACAAUGGGAGCAGGUAGAUAUAGAUACCGGAGAGGAAGGAGAGCUGCGCAUUUGAUUAGAGAGGGGUGAUGGGUCGUAGACGACGACACCACUUUAUUCCGACGGCUUAGUGUGGUUUCACUUCGACGAUCUCAAAUCGGUUGGUGUCGGAGAAAGAGACAGAGUGAGAGGUGAGAAUGGAUAGAGAGAGAGAGAGAGAAGUAGAAAUAAUUU